rnacentral:rRNA from 1 species
GUUUGGUCCUAGCCUUAUCAUCAAGUUUUACUUAAUUUACACAUGCAAGUCUCCGCACCCCGGUGAAAACGCCCCUAAGCUCCUCCUAGGAGCACGGAGCUGGUAUCAGGCCCAACCCACUUUGCCCAUGACACCUAGCCACGCCACACCCCCAAGGGUAUUCAGCAGUGAUUAACAUUAAAAAUUAGCGACAGCUAGAUUUAGUUAAAGUAAACAGGGCCGGCAAAUCUGGUGCCAGCCGCCGCGGCUACACCACGAGGCCCAAUUUGAUGGUCACCGGCGUAAAGCGUGAUUAAAGCACAUAUUACUAUUAGAGCUAAAUUAUAGUUGCACUGUGAUAAGUUCACUAUUUAGAAAACCGAGAACGAAAGUCGCUCUAACCUCACCUACUUGAACUCACGACAGCUAAGAAACAAACUGAGAUUAGAUACCUCACUAUGCUUAGCCGUAAACCCUUUAACUACUCACCAAAUC